rnacentral:rRNA from 1 species
UACGUAGGGGGCAAGCGUUGUCCGGAAUUACUGGGCGUAAAGCGCGUGUAGGCGGGACGACAAGUCCGGCGUGAAAGGCUUGGGCUCAACCCGGAGAUGGCCGUUGGAAACUGUCGUUCUUGAGGGUCGAAGAGGAGAGUGGAAGUUCCUGGUGUAGCGGUGAAAUGCGUAGAGAUCAGGAGGAACACCCAUGGCGAAGGCAGCUCUCUGGUCGACCUCUGACGUGGAGACGCGAAAGCGUGGGGAGCGAACGGG